rnacentral:rRNA from 1 species
GGGGAAUAUUGGGCAAUGGGCGAAAGCCUGACCCAGCAACGCCGCGUGAAGGAAGAAGGCCCUCGGGUUGUAAACUUCUUUUAUUCGGGACGAAACAAAUGACGGUACCGAAUGAAUAAGCCACGGCUAACUACGUGCCAGCAGCCGCGGUAAUACGUAGGUGGCGAGCGUUAUCCGGAUUUACUGGGUGUAAAGGGCGUGUAGGCGGGAUGCAAGUCAGAUGUGAAAAUUAUGGGCUCAACCUCGGGCUUGCAGUGGGUACGGGCUGACUAGAGUGCGGUAGGGGUGACUGGAAUUCCUGGUGUAGCGGUGGAAUGCGCAGAUAUCAGGAGGAACACCGAUGGCGAAGGCAGGUCACUGGGCCGCAACUGACGCUGAGGAGCGAAAGCAUGGGGAGCGAACA